rnacentral:rRNA from 1 species
AUAAAGUAGCAAAUACUUUGGUGGCGACCGGCGCACGGGUGAGUAACGCGUAUGCAACCUCACUUACCAGAGGGGAAUAACCCGGCGAAAGGCGGACUAAUACCGCAUAAAACAGGGGCACCGCAUGGUGAUAUUUGUUAAAGAAAUUCGCUGAUAGAUGGGCAUGCGUUCCAUUAGGUAGUUGGUGAGGUAACGGCUCACCAAGCCGACGAUGGAUAGGGGAACUGAGAGGUUGGUCCCCCACACUGGUACUGAGACACGGACCAGACUCCUACGGGAGGCAGCAGUGAGGAAUAUUGGUCAAUGGGCGAGAGCCUGAACCAGCCAAGUCGCGUGAAGGAAGAAGGAUCUAUGGUUCGUAAACUUCUUUUGCAGGGGAAUAAAGUGCAGGACGUGUCCUGUUUUGUAUGUACCCUGAGAAUAAGGAUCGGCUAACUCCGUGCCAGCAGCCGCGGUAAUACGGAGGAUCCGAGCGUUAUCCGGAUUUAUUGGGUUUAAAGGGUGCGUAGGUGGUUUGAUAAGUCAGCGGUGAAAGUUUGCAGCUUAACUGUAAAAAUGCCGUUGAAACUGUCGGACUUGAGUGUAAAUGAGGUAGGCGGAAUGCGUGGUGUAGCGGUGAAAUGCUUAGAUAUCACGAAGAACUCCGAUUG